GGAGGCAGCAGUGGGGAAUAUUGGACAAUGGGCGAAAGCCUGAUCCAGCCAUGCCGCGUGUGUGAAGAAGGCCUUUUGGUUGUAAAGCACUUUAAGCGAGGAGGAGGCUACCGAGAUUAAUACUCUUGGAUAGUGGACGUUACUCGCAGAAUAAGCACCGGCUAACUCUGUGCCAGCAGCCGCGGUAAUACAGAGGGUGCGAGCGUUAAUCGGAUUUACUGGGCGUAAAGCGUGCGUAGGCGGCUUUUUAAGUCGGAUGUGAAAUCCCUGAGCUUAACUUAGGAAUUGCAUUCGAUACUGGGAAGCUAGAGUAUGGGAGAGGAUGGUAGAAUUCCAGGUGUAGCGGUGAAAUGCGUAGAGAUCUGGAGGAAUACCGAUGGCGAAGGCAGCCAUCUGGCCUAAUACUGACGCUGAGGUACGAAAGCAUGGGGAGCAAACAGGAUUAGAUACCCUGGUAGUCCAUGCCGUAAACGAUGUCUACUAGCCGUUGGGGCCUUUGAGGCUUUAGUGGCGCAGCUAACGCGAUAAGUAGACCGCCUGGGGAGUACGGUCGCAAGACUAAAACUCAAAUGAAUUGACGGGGGCCCGCACAAGCGGUGGAGCAUGUGGUUUAAUUCGAUGCAACGCGAAGAACCUUACCUGGUCUUGACAUAGUGAGAAUCCUGCAGAGAUGCGGGAGUGCCUUCGGGAAUUCACAUACAGGUGCUGCAUGGCUGUCGUCAGCUCGUGUCGUGAGAUGUUGGGUUAAGUCCCGCAACGAGCGCAACCCUUUUCCUUAUUUGCCAGCGGGUUAAGCCGGGAACUUUAAGGAUACUGCCAGUGACAAACUGGAGGAAGGCGGGGACGACGUCAAGUCAUCAUGGCCCUUACGACCAGGGCUACACACGUGCUACAAUGGUAGGUACAGAGGGUUGCUACACAGCGAUGUGAUGCUAAUCUCAAAAAGCCUAUCGUAGUCCGGAUUGGAGUCUGCAACUCGACUCCAUGAAGUCGGAAUCGCUAGUAAUCGCAGAUCAGAAUGCUGCGGUGAAUACGUUCCCGGGCCUUGUACACACCGCCCGUCACACCAUGGGAGUCUAUUGCACCAGAAGUAGGUAGCCUAACGCAAGAGGGCGCUUACCACGGUGUGGUCGAUGACUGGGGUGAAGUCGUAACAAGGUAGCCGUAGGGG
rnacentral:rRNA from 1 species